AAAAAAUAGAAGCUCUUAUUACUCAAGGAAACCUUUACAAGUGCUUUGAGGACUCACUUGUUUGGUGCCUUGGCCAAAUAAGGCCUUCACCUAUUUAUAGGCACCAAUGGAACUCUUUGGAACCUUGGAGGGUUCCUUACAAUUCAAGAAUAUUCUAGAACACCCUACACCAUUCUAUGUACAAACCUAUAUACAAGAAUAUACAAGAGACCUCUGGA
rnacentral:lncRNA from 1 species